rnacentral:rRNA from 1 species
AGUGAACGCUGGCGGUAGGCCUAACACAUGCAAGUCGAACGGCAGCACAGUAAGAGCUUGCUCUUACGGGUGGCGAGUGGUGGACGGGUGAGGAAUACAUCGGAAUCUACUUUUUCGUGGGGGAUAACGUAGGGAAACUUACGCUAAUACCGCAUACGACCUACGGGUGAAAGCAGGGGAUCUUCGGACCUUGCGCGAUUGAAUGAGCCGAUGUCGGAUUAGCUAGUUGGCGGGGUAAAGGCCCACCAAGGCGACGAUCCGUAGCUGGUCUGAGAGGAUGAACAGCCACACUGGAACUGAGACACGGUCCAGACUCCUACGGGAGGCAGCAGUGGGGAAUAUUGGACGAUGGGCGCAAGCCUGAUCCAGCCAUACUGCGUGGGUGAAGAAGGCCUUCGGGUUGUAAAGCCCUUUUGUUGGGAAAGAAAAGCAGCAGGUUAAUACCCCGCUGUUCUGACGGUACCCAAAGAAUAAGCACCGGCUAACUUCGUG